GCCAAUUACAACGUGCAGAACAGAACAGAACAGAACAGAACAGAACAGAACAGAACAGAACAGAACAGAACAGAAAGUUAGGAACUUGUAACAGGAAGUUAAGAACUUCUAACAGGAACUGAGGAAAAUUUAUUUGGCUCGUAAGAACAUUGCAAAUUCCCUCAAGGGAUUUGCAAGGGAGUUUUUCAAAUUUACUAAGGUAGUGAGGAAAAUUGAAAUCAAGUUAGGAACUUAAAAGAGGAACGCUUCACGUAGUUUACCUGUAACAAUAUUCCGUGCAUGUACAUGAGCAACAAAAUUUGUCAAGGGAAAACUUAUCAGGGAAACUACUGUUUUCCCUGAUAAGUUCCGAAAACUUGUUGACUGUACUCACGAGAAAGUAAACUUGUCAAGGAAAACUUGUUGACUGUACACACGAGAAGGUAAACUUCUCAAGGAAAACUUGUUGACUGUACACACGAGAAGGUAAACUUGUCAAGGAAAACUCGAGUGCUCCUCGUCGGGGGUUUUAAGCGUGUGAGCUAAGGUAGUGGUAGUAGAAGUUAAAUCUGACCCCUCUAUUAUAUCGCAGUGUCAUCACCUAUGCAUAGAAAUAAAUAUAGAAUAUACUAAUAUAUAUAUUAUUUAUAGAUAUACAUCUCAAUUUACCGAGACGUCAAUAAAUUACUUUUUUAUACAAAAUACUUUGGGAAACGACAGAUUAGCCGAAUAUGUGAAUUAUGAUUUCUUUUUUUAUAAACUUUGUACUAAAUUGGACAGAAUUUGAUGGCGAUUUGUUUCUAAUGAAGAAUUCAUAUAGCAAAGGUCCUUAGGGUUACCCUGCAAGCGAAAAUGUUUUUCAACUAUAUAUUAAAUGUGUUCCAAGUGUGUUUUUGUUACGGAAACAAUCUAUCCUAUACGGUUCAGUGUCCACCUUUAUGAAACAUGGCAAGGAAAGAAUGUCUUUGCAACAAUUUGAAUGCGUCUUAGUUUGCUCCUAGCCUCUCAAAGAGUCUCAAGAUUUUAGAGGAAUGUUACACUGCAUGGGCUUACUAGCCUGUGCGCAAUCCCAUGACAGACGUUUGCAACGAUGUCACGAGACGGCGUGCAGGCUAUGGGCUAGUUCAAAAUUGUUGUCUUCCAAAACCAUGCACGUAAACCAAUUGUAAAUUAUUCUUACAUCCGUAUUCUAAAAGCUCACUCACAC